UCGACUGCAUGAAGUCGGAAUCGCUAGUAAUCNCGGAUCAGCAUGCCGCGGUGAAUACGUUCCCGGGCCUUGUACACACCGCCCGUCACACCAUGAGAGUCGGGAACACCCGAAGUCCGUAGCCUAACCGCAAGGAGGACGCAGUCGAAGGUGGGAUUGAUGACUGGGGCGAAGUCGUAACAAGGUAGC
rnacentral:rRNA from 1 species